rnacentral:rRNA from 1 species
UGGGGAAUAUUGGACAAUGGGCGCAAGCCUGAUCCAGCCAUGCCGCGUGUGUGAAGAAGGCCUUCGGGUUGUAAAGCACUUUUGUACGGGAAGAAAAGCACUCGGUUAAUACCCGGGUGUCAUGACGGUACCGUAAGAAUAAGCACCGGCUAACUUCGUGCCAGCAGCCGCGGUAAUACGAAGGGUGCAAGCGUUACUCGGAAUUACUGGGCGUAAAGCGUGCGUAGGUGGUUUGUUAAGUCUGAUGUGAAAGCCCUGGGCUCAACCUGGGAAUUGCAUUGGAUACUGGCAGUCUAGAGUGCGGUAGAGGGUAGCGGAAUUCCCGGUGUAGCAGUGAAAUGCGUAGAUAUCGGGAGGAACAUCCGUGGCGAAGGCGGCUACCUGGACCAGCACUGACACUGAGGCACGAAAGCGUGGGGAGCAAACAGGAUUAGAUACCCUGGUAGUCCACGCCCUAAACGA